AUUGAACGCUGGCGGCAGGCCUAACACAUGCAAGUCGAACGAGCGGCGGACGGGUGAGUAAUGUCUGGGCAACUGCCCGAUGGCGGGGGAUAACUACUGGAAACGGUAGCUCAUACCGCAUACCAUCAGAUGUGCCCAGAUGGGAUUAGCUAGUAGGUGGGGUAAAGGCUCACCUAGGCGACGAUCCCUAGCUGGUCUGAGAGGAUGACUCGCCACACUGGAACGGAGACACGGUCCAGACUCAUACGGGAGGCAGAAGUUGUGAAUAUUGCACAAUGGGAGCAAUCCUGAUGCAGCCAUGCCGCGUGUGUGAAGAAGGCGUUCGGGUUGUAAAGGACUUUCAGCGAGGAGGCGUUACUCGCAGAAGAAGCACCGGCUAACUCCGUGCCAGCAGCCGCGGUAAUAC
rnacentral:rRNA from 1 species